rnacentral:rRNA from 1 species
AACGAACGCUGGCGGCAGGCUUAACACAUGCAAGUCGAGCGCCCCGCAAGGGGAGCGGCAGACGGGUGAGUAACGCGUGGGAACGUACCUUUUGGUUCGGAACAACUCCGGGAAACUGGAGCUAAUACCGGAUAAGCCCUAACGGGGAAAGAUUUAUCGCCGAAAGAUCGGCCCGCGUCUGAUUAGCUAGUUGGUGAGGUAACGGCUCACCAAGGCGACGAUCAGUAGCUGGUCUGAGAGGAUGAUCAGCCACACUGGGACUGAGACACGGCCCAGACUCCUACGGGAGGCAGCAGUGGGGAAUAUUGGACAAUGGGCGCAAGCCUGAUCCAGCCAUGCCGCGUGAGUGAUGAAGGCCUUAGGGUUGUAAAGAUCUUUUGUCCGGGAAGAUAAUGACUGUACCGGAAGAAUAAGCCCCGGCUAACUUCGUG